AUUGAACGCUGGCGGCAUGCUUUACACAUGCAAGUCGAACGGUAACAGGCCGCAAGGUGCUGACGAGUGGCGAACGGGUGAGUAAUGCAUCGGAACGUGCCCAGUCGUGGGGGAUAACGCAGCGAAAGCUGCGCUAAUACCGCAUACGAUCUAUGGAUGAAAGCGGGGGACCGUAAGGCCUCGCGCGAUUGGAGCGGCCGAUGUCAGAUUAGGUAGUUGGUGGGGUAAAGGCUCACCAAGCCAACGAUCUGUAGCUGGUCUGAGAGGACGACCAGCCACACUGGGACUGAGACACGGCCCAGACUCCUACGGGAGGCAGCAGUGGGGGAAUUUUGGACAAUGGGCGCAAGCCUGAUCCAGCAAUGCCGCGUGCAGGAAGAAGGGCCUUCGGGUUGUAACUAGCUUUGUACGGAACGAAAAGGACGUCUGGUUAAUAACCUGGGCGACAUGACGGUACCGUAAGAAUAAGACACCGGCUAACUACGUAGCCAGCAGCCGCGGUAA
rnacentral:rRNA from 1 species